rnacentral:rRNA from 1 species
CGCACGGGUGAGUAACACGUAUCCAACCUGCCGUCUACUCUUGGCCAGCCUUCUGAAAGGAAGAUUAAUCCAGGAUGGCAUCAUGAGUUCACAUGUCCGCAUGAUUAAAGGUAUUUUCCGGUAGACGAUGGGGAUGCGUUCCAUUAGAUAGUAGGCGGGGUAACGGCCCACCUAGUCAACGAUGGAUAGGGGUCCUGAGAGGAAGGUCCCCCACAUUGGAACUGAGACACGGUCCAA